AAAGUUAAAUUAAUAAAUUAAAAGUAAUAAAUAUUAUAAUAAAAGAAUUUUUAAAAUAAAAAUAUUUAAUGGGGGUUAAAGUAUUUUUAAAGAAAAAAUUUAAUAAUUUAUAGUAAAAUAGUAUUGUGAAAGAAAUUUGAAAUAAUAAUGAAAAUUAAUUAAUAAAAAAGUAAAAUUUAAUUUUUGUAUCUUGUGUAUCAGAGUUUAUUUAAUAAAUUAUUAAAUUUAAUAAUUCUCGAAUUUAAAAGAGAAAAUUAAUUAUAAAAUUUAUUGUUUCAAAAAUAUUUUUAAUAAUUAAUUUGAAAUGAAAUGUUAAUCGUUUUUAAAAAUAUCUAGUUAUUUUAGAAAAAAAUUUAAUUUUAAAAUAAAAUGAUAAAAAUAAAUUUUUAAAAUAUUUAUUUUUUUUUAGUUUAUUUUUAUAAUUUAAGGGAUAAGCUUUAAAUUAGAAUAUUAUAAUUAAUUAUUUAUUUAAUUAAAAUUUUUAGAAUUUAAAUUGUUAAAAAAUUAUAAUUUUUUAUAAAUAAUUUUAAAUUAAAUUAAAAUUUAAAAAUUAAAUUUAAUUUUUUAUAAAAAAAUAAUUAAAAAUAAAAUUUAAUUAGAAAUAAUGAUAAAAUUAGUAUAUAAUUAAUUAUAUAUAUAUAUAUAUAUAUAUAAAUAAAUUAAAGUUUAGUUUAAUAAUAAAUAAUUAAAAGGAAUUCGGCAAAUAUUUAUAUUCACUUGUUUAUCAAAAACAUGUCUUUUUGGAAAUAAUUUAAAGUCUAAUCUGCCCACUGAUAAAUUAUUAAAGGGCUGCAGUAAUUUGACUGUACAAAGGUAGCAUAAUCAAUAGUCUCUUAAUUGGUGACUUGUAUGAAUGAUUGGAUGAAAUAUAAACUGUCUCUUAAUUAUAAGUAAAAAUUAAUUUUUUAGUUAAAAAGCUAAAAUAAAUUUAAAAGACGAGAAGACCCUAUAGAGUUUUAUUAUUUAAUUAAUUAAUAAAAUUAAUAAAAAAAAAUUAGAUAUUAAUUAAAUUAUUUUGUUGGGGUGAUAGAAAAAUUUAAUAAACUUUUUUUUAAAAAAAAACAUGAAUAAGUGAAAUAAUGAUCCUUAAUUUGAGAUUAUAAGAAAAAAUUACCUUAGGGAUAACAGCGUUAUUUUUUUUUUUAGAUCAUAUAAAAAAAAAAGUUUGCGACCUCGAUGUUGGAUUAAGAUAAAAUUUAAAUGCAAAAGUUUAAAAUUUUGAUCUGUUCGAUCAUUAAAAUCUUACAUGAUCUGAGUUCAAACCGGUGUGAGCCAGGUUGGUUUCUAUCUUUAAAAAAUUAAAAUAUUUUAGUACGAAAGGAUCAAAUAUAUAAAAUAAUUUUAUAAAAAGAAAAUUAUUAAUGAAAUUUAAAUUUGAA
rnacentral:rRNA from 1 species